AACAUCUGCCUCCUUCCACCUCGGGAUCCCUCCCGAUCCAGUUCAUCCCCACCGGCCCACCAUAGUGCAGCCGCCCCUCGUAGCGCGUCCCCAAGUGCCCGCAGCCCAAUCUCGCCUUGAUCUUCUCUGCCUCGCCGGGGCAGCCGUCGCCGGCAAACAGGAGUUGUUUUUCUCUCCUUCCCCAUUGUUUUUCCCUCUCCUUGCCUCGUUCUAUCUCUCAGCUCUCUCUCUGUCUCGUUUCAGACAGAGAACCGAAGGAGCCCGCCAUGGCCUAGGAGCUUCACCACCGCCCCAUCGCCUGGAUCCGUUGCUCCGUCCUCGGCCUCCCUCGCCUCUCCCGCAUCACCGGAGGUCGCCUCCGCCCGCGACCAUCUUCUUCCCGGAGCGCCUCCCCGCCAUGGUCGCCCGAACAUGAAGCUUCAUCCUGCCUCGUUCCACGCCUCGGCUCCGGCCAGAACGAGUCGUCCCCGGCCUCCUCGUCAGGCCAGCUUCCCCCGUCAAAGACGAGCAGAGGAGCUCGCCUGUUCCUGCGCGUGCGUUGACCGCGUCCAAUUGCUCGAUCUGCCAGUGCCCUGUCUCGAUCUCAAGGCCCAUUCCCUUCCGAGCCGGCCCCCUCUCCAUGUCGACCGUGCCCUGGGCCUCAAGCCAGGAGCAGCUCAGCAGCCGGCCUCAUCCACCUCAGCGCCUGGCCCAGCCGCGUGCGUUGACUGCGCCGCCAAGGCCCAGCGCGGCCGCAUCUGUUCCGCCAGCCCAAGAUCCGCGCCGCCCCAUCCGGCCUCCUCUGCUUCCUACUGGGCCGAGCCCAUGGUUCCGAUAACGUUGCGUUUGUGAGGAUCCAUUCGACUACGUCC